AGAGUUUGAUCCUGGCUCAGAUUGAACGCUGGCGGCAGGCUUAACACAUGCAAGUCGAGCGGUAACAUUUCUAGCUUGCUAGAAGAUGACGAGCGGCGGACGGGUGAGUAAUACUUAGGAAUCUACCUAGUAGUGGGGGAUAGCUCGGGGAAACUCGAAUUAAUACCGCAUACGACCUAUGGGAGAAAGGGGGCAACUUGUUGCUCUCGCUAUUAGAUGAGCCUAAGUCGGAUUAGCUAGAUGGUGGGGUAAAGGCCUACCAUGGCGACGAUCUGUAGCUGGUCUGAGAGGAUGAUCAGCCACACCGGGACUGAGACACGGCCCGGACUCCUACGGGAGGCAGCAGUGGGGAAUAUUGGACAAUGGGGGAAACCCUGAUCCAGCCAUGCCGCGUGUGUGAAGAAGGCCUUUUGGUUGUAAAGCACUUUAAGCAGUGAAGAAGACUCUUCGGUUAAUACCCGGAGACGAUGACAUUAGCUGCAGAAUAAGCACCGGCUAACUCUGUGCCAGCAGCCGCGGUAAUACAGAGGGUGCAAGCGUUAAUCGGAAUUACUGGGCGUAAAGCGAGCGUAGGUGGCUUGAUAAGUCAGAUGUGAAAUCCCCGGGCUUAACCUGGGAACUGCAUCUGAUACUGUUAGGCUAGAGUAGGUGAGAGGAAGGUAGAAUUCCAGGUGUAGCGGUGAAAUGCGUAGAGAUCUGGAGGAAUACCGAUGGCGAAGGCAGCCUUCUGGCAUCAUACUGACACUGAGGCUCGAAAGCGUGGGUAGCAAACAGGAUUAGAUACCCUAGUAGUCC
rnacentral:rRNA from 1 species